GAUGAAGAACGUAGCGAAAUGCGAUACGUAGUGUGAAUUGCAGAAUUCAGUGAAUCAUCGAAUCUUUGAACGCACAUUGCACCUCUCGGUAUUCCGGGAGGUAUGCCUGUUCGAGCGUCAUUUGUACCCUCAAGCUCUGCUUGGUGUUGGGUGUUUGUUCCGCCUCUGUGUGUGAACUCGCCUCAAAACAAUUGGCAGCCGGCGUACUUGUUUCGGAGCGCAGCACAUUUUGCGAUCCAGAUCAACGUACAGCGGCAUCCAAGAAGCCUUAUUUAACGCUCUUGACCUCGGAUCAGGUAGGGAUACCCGCUGAACUUAAGCAUAUCUAAGCGGAGGA
rnacentral:misc_RNA from 1 species